CGGCCCGCGGUACCCCCUAGCGGCCGCGGCUUCCCCGGCCCGCCCGGCCUGCUGGAAACACGAUAGCCCCCGGGAGGAGCGCUGCCAGCGGCCUCGCCUGUGCCGCAGGGGCCCGGGGCAGCAGCCCCGCGGCCGCUCAGCGGAGCCUUAGCCCCGGCACGGUGCCCUGCGCCUGUAGGCUGGCACCCGAGUGUCCUUCAGUCCCCUGCCGGCACUGCCCGCCCCGAGCUGCGGCCUUGGUGCGGCUGAGGAGGUGGAAGGUGUCCCCAAGAGCCACGGGCUGGGGGAAAGGCUGUGUUAGCUCACAGGGGCCCUCCCGCAUUGCACCGGGACUGUGGCAGGAUCCUGGCUUGUCCUGCACUGUGUAGUAACAGCCACGUACCUGCUAGCAAUCACAACUCGGAGACUACACAGACAUUUCCCACCUCAACCCCAAUGACCUCCUCAGAUGUUACAGUAUCCUCCCUGCUUCCCAAGCAGAAACAAACAGCUGCAUCUCGGAUGUCUCUGGUCAAGGGGAGACCAGUGGCUGUUAACAACCUGGAUGAUGUCCCUAGUUUAUGCUCUCCCAAAUGGGCUAGACCCUGACAUCUCCACACAGGGAAGUUUCACCCAUCCCCUUCUCAUUGGUUGUUUAGUGGGUUGCAAAAAACAUGCUGCUGGAGCUACUGCUGUUUUCUGCAAGGGAGAAUGCAUCUUCCUGUGCAAGACUGGUUUCCAGGAACAACUUGAGUCACUCACCCUGCAGAACUGAGCAAUCUCUUCUGCUUUCAAAGCUUAUGAGACACAGGUGUGGGCUCUGUGAAGAAACACUGCUGAAUCCCUUUGGAUUGUGCCUAGAUGUUUCCACUUGUUGAGGAAUACAUUUGGUAUUGUGAGCUCAGUGUGCAGCUGAAGGGCAAAUGACUGGACACUCAAAGGCAGCAGGAGCCAAUGAUGCCAGGUUUUGGCACGCUUAGACUGUUAGGGUAUAAAAGCCAAGAAUUUCCCUUUUUUGGGGUCCCUCCUUGGAGGCACACAGCUCAAGUUGUUAUUUUGUUGUUCCACCAUGAUUAAAUUAUUUUAAGGA